CCACUAUGCUUAGCCCUAAACACAAAUAACUAUUAUAACAAAAUUAUUCGCCAGAGUACUACCGGCAAUAGCUUAAAACUCAAAGGACUUGGCGGUGCUUUAUACCCUUCU
rnacentral:rRNA from 1 species